GCCCGUCGCUCCUACCGAUUGAAUAAAGAGGUGAAAUUCUAGGAUUCUGUCUUAUAGAUAGAAAAAUGGAUUUAAAUCUCCUUAUUUAGAGGAAGGAGAAGUCGUAACAAGGUUUCCGUAGGUGAACCUGCGGAAGGAUCAUUA
rnacentral:rRNA from 1 species